rnacentral:lncRNA from 1 species
CUUUGAAUCCUACUAUAUAAAAGGGACUAAAUUCAAGGCUUUUGGGACUAUCCACCUCAGCCAAAAUAUUCUCAUCAAUAAAGAAUUAGAAAUAGAUGUCAUUUAGAAGAUAAUUAACUAACAUAUGACUUUUAAUAUUUCUAGAAAUUUCAUAUUUGUAACUGUUAAUUUAUUAAUAGAAUCAUAUAUCUAUAUUGAAUUAUGUUCUAUUUUUAAUCAUUAGAUUUCAAGGGUAAAUAAAAUAUUAAUUUAUAAUAUAUAUAUAGUUUAUAA